AACCUCCCCGGAACAGGUGAAUAGCCUUGCGAAAGUAAGAUUAAUACACCGUACCAUAUAGUUGUGGCAUCACGAUUAUAUUAUAGGUAGCAAUACCGGUUCCGGAUGGGCGUGCGCCUGAUUAGGUAGUUGGUGCGGGUAACGGCCCACCAAGCCUUCGAUCAGUAACUGGUGUGAGAGCACGACCAGUCACACGGGCACUGAGACACGGGCCCGACUCCUACGGGAGGCAGCAGUAAGGAAUAUUGGUCAAUGGACGCAAGUCUGAACCAGCCAUGCCGCGUGGAG
rnacentral:rRNA from 1 species